GUUGUUGUGGCUGAGCGGUUAAGGUGAUGGACUCGAAAUCCAUUGGGGGUUCCCUGCACAGGUUCGAAUUCUGCCAACAAUA